rnacentral:rRNA from 1 species
GACGAACGCUGGCGGCGUGCCUAAUACAUGCAAGUCGAACGCAGCGGGGACGGGUGAGUAACACGCGGGUAACCUCCCAUCAGAGGGGAUAACACUUGGAAACAGGUGGUAAACCGAUACUGGUGGAUGGAUCCGCGUUGCAUUAGCUAGUGGGUGAGGUAAUGGACGACCUAGGCGACGAUCCCUAGCUGGUCUGAGAGAAUGAUCAGCCACACUGGGACUGAGACACGGCCCAGACUCCUACGGGAGGCAGCAGUAGGGAAUAUUGCACAAUGGGCGAAAGCCUGAUACAGCCAUGCCGCGUGGAUGAAGAAGGCCCUAGGGUUGUAAAGUACUUUCAGUCGGGAGGCGUUACCGACAGAGAAAGCACCGGCUAACUCCGUGCCAGCAGCCGCGGUAAUAC